rnacentral:rRNA from 1 species
GACAGAGGGUGCAAACGUUGCUCGGAAUCACUGGGCGUAAAGGGCGUGUAGGCGGGCAGGAAAGUCAGAUGUGAAAUCCCCAGGCUCAACCUGGGAACUGCAUUUGAAACUCCCUUUCUUGAGUAUCGGAGAGGAAAGCGGAAUUCCUGGUGUAGAGGUGAAAUGCGUAGAUAUCUGGAGGAACACCGGUGGCGAAGGCGGCAUCCUGGACCGAUAUUGACGCUGAGGAGCGAAAGCCAGGGGAGCAAACGGG